rnacentral:rRNA from 1 species
UUAAGUGACUAAGCGUACACGGUGGAUGCCUUGGCAGUCAGAGGCGAUGAAAGGCGUAAUAACUUGCGAUAAGCCCAGAUUAGGUAGUAAUAACCUUUUGAGUCUGGGAUUCCUGAAUGGGGAAACCCACUUGCAUAAGCAAGUAUCCUGUUGUGAAUACAUAGCAACAGGAGGCAAACCGGGGGAACUGAAACAUCUAAGUACCCCGAGGAAGAGAAAUCAACCGAGAUUCCGAAAGUAGCGGCGAGCGAAAUUGGAUUAGCCCUUAAGCUUUUAAUGAGACAGACGAAGGCUCUGGAAAGUGCCGCAAUAAAGGGUGAUAGCCCCGUAAUCGACAUCUCAUAAUCAGUGAAAACGAGUAGGGCGGGACACGUGAUAUCCUGUCUGAAUAUGGGGGGACCAUCCUCCAAGGCUAAAUACUACUGACUGACCGAUAGUGAACCAGUACCGUGAGGGAAAGGCGAAAAGAACCCCUGUGAGGGGAGUGAAAUAGAACCUGAAACCGUGUACGUACAAGCAGUAGGAGCACCUUCGUGGUGUGACUGCGUACCUUUUGUAUAAUGGGUCAGCGACUUAAUUUUAGUAGCAAGGUUAACCGUUUAGGGGAGCCGUAGGGAAACCGAGUCUUAACUGGGCGUACAGUUGCUAGGAUUAGACCCGAAACCAGGUGAUCUAGCCAUGGGCAGGUUGAAGGUUGAGUAACAUCAACUGGAGGACCGAACCGACUAAUGUUGAAAAAUUAGCGGAUGACUUGUGGCUAGGGGUGAAAGGCCAAUCAAACCUGGAGAUAGCUGGUUCUCCCCGAAAGCUAUUUAGGUAGCGCCUCGGACGAAUACUACUGGGGGUAGAGCACUGUUAAGGCUAGGGGGUCAUCCCGACUUACCAACCCUUUGCAAACUCCGAAUACCAGUAAGUACUAUCCGGGAGACACACGGCGGGUGCUAACGUCCGUCGUGGAGAGGGAAACAACCCAGACCGCCAGCUAAGGUCCCAAAGUAUAGCUAAGUGGGAAACGAUGUGGGAAGGCUCAGACAGCCAGGAUGUUGGCUUAGAAGCAGCCAUCAUUUAAAGAAAGCGUAAUAGCUCACUGGUCGAGUCGGCCUGCGCGGAAGAUGUAACGGGGCUAAGCUAUACACCGAAGCUGCGGCUACGUACCUUAGGGUAUGUGGGGUAGGGGAGCGUUCUGUAAGCCGUUGAAGGUGGUCUGUAAGGGCUGCUGGAGGUAUCAGAAGUGCGAAUGCUGACAUGAGUAACGAUAAAGGGAGUGAAAAACUCCCUCGCCGGAAGACCAAGGGUUCCUGUCCAACGUUAAUCGGGGCAGGGUAAGUCGACUCCUAAGGCGAGGCCGAAAGGCGUAGUCGAUGGGAAACGGGUUAAUAUUCCCGUACUUCUUACAAUUGCGAUGGGGGGACGGAGAAGGCUAGGUGGGCCUGGCGACGGUUGUCCAGGUUCAAGUAUGUAGGCGGAAAGUUUAGGUAAAUCCGGACUUUCAUUAACGCUGAGAUACGAUGUCGAGCUACUACGGUAGUGAAGUCAUUGAUGCCAUGCUUCCAGGAAAAGCCUCUAAGCUUCAGAUUGUAAGGAAUCGUACCCCAAACCGACACAGGUGGUCGGGUAGAGAAUACCAAGGCGCUUGAGAGAACUCGGGUGAAGGAACUAGGCAAAAUGGUACCGUAACUUCGGGAGAAGGUACGCUCUUAUCAGUGAAGUCCCUUGCGGAUGGAGCAGACGAGAGUCGCAGAUACCAGGUGGCUGCAACUGUUUAUUAAAAACACAGCACUGUGCAAAAUCGAAAGAUGACGUAUACGGUGUGACGCCUGCCCGGUGCCGGAAGGUUAAUUGAUGGGGUUAGUCUUCGGACGAAGCUCUUGAUCGAAGCCCCGGUAAACGGCGGCCGUAACUAUAACGGUCCUAAGGUAGCGAAAUUCCUUGUCGGGUAAGUUCCG